rnacentral:lncRNA from 1 species
UUUUUCCAUUUGAUCCUCGAAAAAAAAAAAAAAAUUAAAAAUAGUCCUACGAAAUUUAUAAUUAUAAUUUUGGUCCUAUUCCUAUCACACAAGCGCCACGUCAGCUCCACGCGAGUGGGACUGGGAUCAAGGUGUUAAGUUGAACACGAUGAAUCAUUCACUAUGUUUGGACACGAUGAAUGGUUCACCGUAUUCAGUGACUUAUAUUACUCGGAAGAAUAAUAUAUUAAAUACAGUGAACUAUUCACUAUGUCCAAACACGGUCAAUCGUUCAACGUGUUUAGACACGAUGAAUAGUUCACCGUGUUUAAACACGGUGAACCAUUCACUAUAUUCAGUAGAACUCUACCCAGGUCAUUGCAGAUUUCAGCACAAUAACACAACAAAUCAUGAUACAUCGAUAACUUAACAAAUUCAACUUUAACAACACAACAACAAAUCCACCACAACAACACAAUAAUAAAUCCAACAGAAUAUCAAUAGAGCAUCAAUACCAUAUUAUCACAACAAAAUAUCAAAAAAUAGAGCAAGUUUAUCAAUAAUUUAAAAAGUUCUAUACAAUUUAAAAUUUACAAAAAUGUAAAGUCAUAUUCUCCUCCUAAUCUCUUGACCACAUCUACCUACACGUCCCCUACCACGACCGCGACCACGAUCAACACUAUACUUGUCGAAGAGCAAUGUGACUUCCAACUGGUCGAAAUGUUCGAUAGCAGCACCCUCCACAACUGGCUGAGUAUCCUGCGUCUCUAUCACCUGUUUCAUCUCGUGCUCAACCAUAGCAGGUGUCGGUAGUAUGUCUGGUCGUGGAGG